UUCCGCAUGUAAUAUUUUAUUUUUAAUUUACAUUGAAUAUUCUAAUUCACAAUUAUUCAAGAAUCAAAUUCACAUCUCACUCCACAUCUGCAGACUACCCGUCACCACCUUAUUCUCACCCUAUCGUCGCCGCCCCUGAAACUCCGGCGAAAGCUGCCGCCAGCAAGCCACGGCCAUGACUUCUAUCUCGACUUCUCCAUCUCUCAGCCCCUAAUCUCCCUCCUCACUCCCAAAGAAGCCCUAGAUCCCCAAAUCAUCACCGCCUCUUCGCGAUUUCCAGCGACCACGACAGUCACCCCAUCGCCGCCGACCGACUUUUGUCUCGACCCCUAUCUCCAUCUCUCAACCCCUAAUCUCCAUCAUCUCUCCCAAAGAAACCCUAGAUCUCCAAAUCCUCACCGCCUCUUCGCAAUUUCCGGCCACCACGGCAGCUAUGGCCGCCGCUGUUUCGACUCCCCGCAAUCUGCCCCCCACAUGGGAUUAAAGUAGAAGCUAGCUUGAGAUUAGAGCUGAGAUCAGAGGAACUUUGAUUUUCCUUCGACUUCUUUUCUUGAAAGAAAUCCGGUGAGCUAUGUUUUCGGCAUUUAUAAUACUACUCCAUCUGAUUGGAUAAGUAUAAUUGAAUGGAACAAACCAUAUUAUAAAUAGAUUGUUGGUGCAUGUAUUAUUUAGCGCAUGAUAAUAAUUUUGGUGAUCGAAUAUUGUUGGCUGGGUCAUGGUGGGUUUAUUAAGCUUUUUGUUGCUGGUCAACUAUGGAUCUCUCCAAAUUAACUUUCUUCGCAAACUACAUGUUUAUAUAAAUGCACGCACUCAUCUAUUUUAUGUAUAGUUGUCUUUCUUUUAUGCUCUUAUUUUUUAUUUAAUUUUUAUUUGUGCUUAUUUUCCAGUUUCCUUUAAUAUGAAGUGUUAUGUUUGUGUGUGUGUGUGUAUUUUUGUCAUUUGUUUGUGAACUGUUCGGAUUCUUUGUCUCGGUUUGUGGCUUUCCUGAAUUUUGGAGUUUCGUUUCCUAAUUCUGUGAUUUUUUGCUAACUAUGCUGAUCUUUUGAUUUGAGAAGUAUGAAUUCACCUAACAGCAAUAAUCGCAUGCGCUUUUUUCUUCAUUAAUCUAAUUCAACCAAAACAAUAGUGGUGUAAUCAACAACUUCUUCCUUCAUUUUUUCUUCAUUAAGUUUAGCUAUUGAUGAAAGAUCAACAUAUCAUUCUUUAAUUUUAAAUGUGAUAUUGUUAUUUAACUCAUUUAUUUGUGUCUGAGGUAACAUGGGACAAGAAGUAAAUAUUGUUUUGAAGAGUACUGAAAUUACUGAAAAAUAUAAUGUAUUGGUAUUUGAUGUGUCCAGUAAUUACUGGAAUUAUUAGGUAACUCAUUUAUUUUGGCAAAGCUAUUAAAUACACAUGGUUAUGUGGGGAUGAUAUUUUGAAUAGAUGAUUUGUGGUGAUUGCAAGCAUACUGAAAUUGUUGAAUUGCUCAAUUUAAAUAGUUCUUGAAUUAUCUCUUAAAGUGGGAAACUAAUGAUCUUAUAACUAAGACAUCAUUUGUUUUUUAUUCUUCAUAGUUCCAUACUUACCACUGUUGACCUCUGAUGGAAAUGCAGGCUUAUGUUUAUUGGUUAUUGUUGUGUUUCAUGCAGAUAUCAAGUGGGCUUGGAAGUCCUAAGUUCUUUCCCCUCUGUAUCUCACUAAUGAGGUUGCUUAAUGCAUUCCAUUAAGUGCCACAUUCGCUAGAUUGCCGUUCAAUACUUUAGAAUGACAUCAAAUAGAAAAAAUGCUACACAACCACAUGAAAUCCUCUUUACAUUGGCAGUAGUUGAUACAUGGUGCAUUAGUGCAAAUAAAUACGGAUUCUCAUCUUCUAUAUUUCUUCCUGAAUUUGAUUUAUCUACUAUA